UCUGCCUCAGCCUCCCGAGUAACUGGGAUAACAGAUGGAAUCAUACAGUAUGGGAUCUUUUGUGUCUGGUUUCUCUGCGUAAUGCUUCCGUCCAGGUUGUGGACUGUUAUGCUUUCAGGCUUUCCAUUGAAAACUUGGAUCCGGCCAGGUGCAGUGGCUCACGCCUGUAAUCCCAACACUUUGGGAGGCCGAGGUGGGUGGAUCAAC